GGUAAUCGAUUACCCAUGGUGUGUAAUCGAUUACACAGAGUAACAGGGCACUGGUAAUCGAUUACCAGUUAGGUGUAAUCGAUUACACAGUGUAAUUUGUAGGUUUCCAUGUGCAGAAGCUGUGUAACUCGAGUUUGGGCACCGAUAAUCGAUUACAUACUUUGGUAAUCGAUUUACCAGAGAGGAAAUCCCUUGAGAAGGAUAUUUUGACUAUGCAUAGCCGUUAUGGGACGCAUUGUAUUGUUACCUGUAGUUAGA
rnacentral:lncRNA from 1 species